CACGGGCCCUCAAAGUUUCAAUGUAAUCCUUAUGAAAGCAGUAUUUGACACAUAAACAAAGGCAUAAGAUCAGCUGGUGAAUUUUUAAUGAAUCAAAUCAAGAAAUAGCUGAUAGCAUUAUUCCACGGAUAUUAGAACAGAAACGAGUUCGUUUUGCUCUUCUACCCAACCGAUUUUCAUGAUUGAGGUCUCAAAUUGAAGUUAUGCACUUGAAAUUUGGAGGCCCUGUGCUGAUGAAGAGGAAGCUAUGGAGAUGGCUGCUAGACAAAGCUUUCUACACCUUAAAGGAGUUCUUUGCAUGGCAAGACCACACACAACACUGAAGAAGCU